AAUUAGUAAAGUACUGAUAAGUGACGUCAUAACCUACUGUUUUUCACGCGAAAUCUGUAGAAAUAGAAUAUCAAGUUCUAGUGAAUUUACACUGUAAGACAAUAUUAACUGAUACAACUGUCUGUGAUUGUCUAACAAUAUUUUACGGGGUGAAAAUUCUCUUAGUGAAGCCUGAAACUACGCGUUCUCCAAAAUAUUCGUUCGUUCGUUCAAAUAUUUUUUAUUUAAAAAUUAAAGACACAAAAAAUAUAAUUGCAGGAUUUUGAUAUGUAGUAAGCUUUACAUUUUUAAAGUUUAGCAAUACCACUGCUUCUGUUUGUAUAGAAAGAGGCGGUUCAUUGAAAUGAAAAAAACAAAUCUUGAUGUGACUUUUGACCUUUAAUAAACGGUAACUUAUAAUGUAGAAUGAUACAUGAAUAAUUCGGCUUCGUUAAGAUUUAUUUUACACUCUUUAUAUUCGAAGGCAUAGCAUUGCUUUAGUAGUGCUCGGUAUUACUUUACUAACAGCAUUUGUAGGCAUAGUAUCAUGCUUCGAAAUAGUGUGUAUUUUGUAUAAAAACAGACCAAGGUAGAACAAUUAUAGAAUACUGUAUCUAUAACAUAACCCUUGAUGUCUUUCUGUAGGCUCAUAUACAAUUAGUAUAAUAAAUGUUGCCUUAUAUUUGUAAAAAAUAUUUUCUGCAUAUAUUAUAAAUGCAAUAAUAUGUGUAUUCUUACUUAUUUUCUGUGGGAAAUUUUAGCAUUUUGCAAAAUGCGAAUUGAUACAUAAUGAUUUAUGUAGAAGGAGAUAUAGGUUAAAUAAAACAAACCUACAAUGGUUCUGUUUUCAUAACUGUUGUGUUUAGUUUACAUUCUUGUUGUUAGUUGGUUCGUUAUUUACAUUUUUACUUUGAUCGUAGAUGGAUAUGUAUAAUGUAAACAAUUUUAAGUACACUCAAAUUAUUGUUUACAUUUUGUUAAGUAUCGCGUGGAUACUACGUAUUCUUAAAAACAUUACAUAUUAAAAAAUACUUAUUAUACAUCGGCAUUGCUUUGAAAUCACCUCUUUAAAUUCUAUUUUCUUAAUUCUGCUUUGUAUUUUACUUUCUAAAACAAAUGUCGUGUUUAUAAAAGGUGCUAUCAACAUAUAAGUACAUACAACGUACGUUUAUUUUAUUAUAAUUUUAUACAUAUCUAUUUCAAACAUAGCUAUAUUUUAGGUACAAGUAUAAAACUUCUUUCAUAUCGUCAAUUAAUUUCAAGCAUGCUAUGGUAAAGAUUUAUACCUACUUAUGAAAAGAAUCUCGGUUCCCAGUUGUCAAUUACUAAGUACUUAUUUUACAGUGUGAUCUGUUUAUUGUAUUCCCAUACUACUUCUUCUAUACAUACUAUUGUUAGAAAAACAUGUCUUAUUGUACCCAAGCGUAUCAUUGCGUAUCAUGUAAUAUUUUACGUGUACAUUUUAGUAAUACUAUGUGCUAUUGGUGCCAUACCUAUCAGUACAAAUGUUUUAUUUCAAAGUAUUUUGUUGAGUUAAAUUAUUUAGUUGUAAGUUUUUUUCCCGGUAACUUUGCUGUUUUCUACGUCAUAUGUUAAUAACACACUCAAAUAAUAUUUUUUUAUUAUUGCAGUGAAGUUUGUAAUAAUUUUAUAAUGUUGUACUUAGAAUAAAUGUUUAAUUUGAUAA